AUAGCCCGGUCGGAGGGCAGCACUGCAGCGCAUCAGGGUGGGAGACUUUUGGGGGGGCGUGGGGGGUUGGUUAACAGCUCCACGAAUCUCGGCGGGGAUUUCUGCCCAGGCACGAGUCACUGCUGAAAAAAAAAGGGAAUGUCUUUUUGUCGAUGGCUGAAAAUGAGGAGAGAAGCCUGGCUGCAAAGUGGAAGCAUGUUUGCCUGAAGCGACUCAGGCUCAGCUCCCCGUAGGUUGCCUACCCACGCUCUCCGGAGCUGCACGAGGGAGAGAAGUUCAUGCUACUGCUGUGAUCAGCAGCGUCGAAUGCUCUCCUGGAGCUGUCUGCUAGUGAGACGCAGCCACCGCACGGUGCAAUAGGAAGAAAAAACAGAUUAUCUGCAGUUCAGUGCCAUUGAACGAGAAGGAUUUCAAAAGGCUCGUCGUGACAAAAACAAAGGUGCAACUGGAGAUGAAACCUAGAACUACAGCUCAGUAAUUUAAGGGCUGAACAGUUCCUGCUCUCAUGGCCUCUCCUUGUAAUACAGAUUCUCCAAUCCCAUGAUCACCUUCGAGGCCCUUCACUGGACUCACUUUAGGAAGUCCGUGUCUUCCCUUUACAGGGGACAUGCACCUCACCAGUGCUGAGUGCUGAGCAGAGGGGAAGGAUGACCUCCCUCGACCUGCUGGCAACUCUCCUCCUAAUGCAGGAUACUGCCGGGGGACACUGCUGGCUCACGUUCCGCUUGUCCACCAGGACCCCCAGGUCCUCUUCAGCCAAGUUGCUUUCCAGCUGCGUGGCCCCCACUCU